rnacentral:rRNA from 1 species
UACGUAGGGUGCGAGCGUUAAUCGGAAUUACUGGGCGUAAAGCGUGCGCAGGCGGUUGGUUAAGUCUGAUGUGAAAGCCCCGGGCUCAACCUGGGAAUGGCAUUGGAAACUGGCUGGCUAGAGUGUGGCAGAGGGGGUGGAAUUCCGCGUGUAGCAGUGAAAUGCGUAGAGAUGCGGAGGAACACCGAUGGCGAAGGCAGCCCCCUGGGCUGACACUGACGCUCAGGCACGAAAGCGUGGGGAGCAAACAGGAUUAGAU